ACUGUGGCAUAGACCCUGUAAAGGCACCUGAAAGUGAACUCUAAUGAGCAAGACCAGGUUUUGGAGAAGGGGGAAUUGCAGAGAAGAUGGCACAAGGCUUCUCUCUGAGAUGUGCAGCAACAGGACAAGAGACAAAAGUGAGAAGCUGCAUCCAGGGAAGUUCCAGUUGUGGGAAUAUGUGGUUUUCCCAAGCUCAUGCUUAAAAGAAAGUGAACUGCCAGAUCCUCCUUGCUUGCUUUGGACAAGAGAGUAAAGGAUGAAGAAUGGUUUUGUCUUCCAGCUUCUGAUAAGAAAAACAAAAGUAAAAGAAGACACAGGUAUGUGCUAGCUGGAAGAAACCUGUUCCAACACUCGGAUUAUAAGAAAAAGAGUAUGUUGAGAGAAGAAAGAAGUCUGACAUACUUUCUACUUGAUCUGAAAUUCAUCUCCAUGCAUCAGCUUUCUGAGUAUUUUUUAAUGCUGUAGUCCCACGUUACAGGUAUAUGCUGCAGGAUAAAGAGCAUCAGUCCCUUCUGGAAAUGCCUUGGGAAUACAUUACCUGGAGGAAGCACGAGAAUUUGUGAAAUUCUGAAGAGAGAAGAACAAAAGGUACUAAAUCUGAGGCUGUGGCUGCUAAAAUGAGCUGCUGAGCACUGGAGAGCUGCAGAACCUCUGCACCUGUUAUUUCCAGUAAUAGAAAAGAAACCCAAGUGUCUCAAAGGUGUGGAUGCUAUUUUGUUUGGUUUGGGAGAAGUGUUAAAUAAAAUAACCGUUCUGAAAGCAAAAGUUCUUUUCUAAAGGUGGCUAUUCUCUGUAUUCAUCUGGUUUCCCUAUUCCAAUUCCCUUCAGCUGAUAAUGCUGCGUCCUCAGGUCCCACACCCUCCAUCGUGGCCUGUGUAACAUGCAGUAUUUCAAAGGAGCACAGCUGGGUGCUGGACUGUAAUUUGUCAUGCAGCUAGGACCACAUCCAUCAGUUUAUUUGAAGGUAAGGACCAGCACCUUGGAAGUGGAUGGAGAGCUAAUGGACUCAUGUUUCUGCUGUGUUCACAGGGACUUAAACCAGGGAGAAAAGGGUCAGGCACGUCCAUAUAAUUUCACUUUUUGCCUUAGAUGCCAUGAUUUGUAGUAGUUUGGUCAGAAAUUACA